rnacentral:rRNA from 1 species
GGGGAAUAUUGGACAAUGGGGGAAACCCUGAUCCAGCGACGUCGCGUGAGUGAAGAAGUAUUUCGGUAUGUAAAGCUCUAUCAGCAGGGAAGAAAAUGACGGUACCUGACUAAGAAGCCCCGGCUAACUACGUGCCAGCAGCCGCGGUAAUACGUAGGGGGCAAGCGUUAUCCGGAUUUACUGGGUGUAAAGGGAGCGCAGACGGCGAAGCAAGUCUGAAGUGAAAUGCAUGGGCUCAACCCAUGAAUUGCUUUGGAAACUGUUUGGCUUGAGUGUCGGAGGGGUAAGCGGAAUUCCUAGUGUAGCGGUGAAAUGCGUAGAUAUUAGGAGGAACACCGGAGGCGAAGGCGGCUUACUGGACGACAACUGACGUUGAGGCUCGAAGGCGUGGGGAGCAAACAGGAUUAGAUACCCUGGUAGUCCACGCAGUAAACGAUGAAUACUUGGUGUCGGAGAGGUAAACUUUUCGGUGCCGCAAGCAAACGCAUUAAGUAUUCCACCUGGGGAGUACGUUCGCAAGAAUG